GACGAACGCUGGCGGCGUGGAUUAGGCAUGCAAGUCGAACGGUAUCAUCCUUUCGGGGGUGAGAGAGUGGCGAACUGGUGAGUAACACGUAGGUUAUCUACCCUCAAGACGGGGACAACCCAGGGAAACUUGGGCUAAUACCGGAUGUGAGCAACUUUUAGUUGUUUGAAAGGUGGCGUAAGCUGUCGCUUGGGGAUGAGCCUGCGUCCUAUUAGUUAGUUGGUGAGGUAACGGCUCACCUAGGCAAUGAUAGGUAGGCGGCCUUAACGGGUGGUCGCCCACACUGGGAUUGAGAUACGGCCCAGACUCCUACGGGAGGCAGCAGUCGAGAAUAGUCUACAAUGGUCGGAAGACUGAUAGUGCGACGCCGCGUGAACGAUGAAUCCCUUCGGGGUGUAAAGUUCUUUUAUAUGUGAGCAGUGCUUCUUAUAUUAACAGUAUGGGGAGAGAGAUAUUAGCAUAUGAAUAAGCAACGGCUAACUCCGUGCCCAGCCAGCCGCGGUAAAAA
rnacentral:rRNA from 1 species